UGUUUAAUUUAGACACCCGUGUGUUUCGAACUUCUUUCCGAUACCUACAUGAAAAUAUGUUCGUACUGCUGAUAGCUUACAA